CGGCGGACGGGUGAGUAAUGCCUAGGAAUCUGCCUGGUAGUGGGGGACGAACGUUUCGAAAGGAACGCUAUACCGCAUACGUCCUACGGGAGAAAGCAGGGACCUUCGGGCCUUGCGCUAUCAGAUGAGCCUAGGUCGGAUUAGCUAGUUGGUGAGGUAAUGGCUCACCAAGGCGACGAUCCGUAACUGGUCUGAGAGGAUGAUCAGUCACACUGGAACUGAGACACGGUCCAGACUCCUACGGGAGGCAGCAGCU
rnacentral:rRNA from 1 species